GUGGGGAAUAUUGGACAAUGGGCGCAAGCCUGAUCCAGCCAUGCCGCGUGAGUGAUGAAGGCCCUAGGGUUGUAAAGCUCUUUCACCGGUGAAGAUAAUGACUGUACCGGAAGAAUAAGCCCCGGCUAACUUCGUGCCAGCAGCCGCGGUAAUACGAAGGGGGCUAGCGUUGUUCGGAAUCACUGGGCGUAAAGCGCACGUAGGCGGACCAUUAAGUCAGGGGUGAAAGCCUGGAGCUCAACUCCAGAACUGCCUUUGAUACUGAUGGUCUCGAGUUCGGAAGAGGUUGGUGGAACUGCGAGUGUAGAGGUGAAAUUCGUAGAUAUUCGCAAGAACACCAGUGGCGAAGGCGGCCAACUGGUCCGAUACUGACGCUGAGGUGCGAAAGCGUGGGGAGCAAACAGGAUUAGAUACCCUAGUAGUCC
rnacentral:rRNA from 1 species